rnacentral:rRNA from 1 species
CAAAAACAUGUCUUUUUGAGUUAUUUUUAAAGUCUGACCUGCCCACUGAAAUUGUUUAAAUGGCCGCAGUAUUCUAACUGUGCAAAGGUAGCAUAAUCAUUAGUCUUUUAAUUGAAGGCUGGUAUGAACGGUUGGACGAGGUAUAAGCUGUUUCAUAUAAAUUUAUAAUAGAAUUUUAUAUUUUAGUUAAAAAGCUAAAAUAUAUUUAAAAGACGAGAAGACCCUAUAAAUCUUUAUAUUUUGUGUUGUUUAAAUUUUUUGGAAUUGGUUUAUUUUUAUGGUAUAAAAUAUUUUGUUGGGGUGAUAUUAAAAUUUAAUGAACUUUUAAUUAUUUAAAAUCAUUAAUUUAUGAGUUAUUGAUCCAUUAAUAGUGAUUAUAAGAUUAAGUUACUUUAGGGAUAACAGCGUAAUUUUUUUGGAGAGUUCAUAUCGAUAAAAAAGUUUGCGACCUCGAUGUUGGAUUAAGAUAUAAUUUUAGGUGUAGCCGCUUAAA